rnacentral:rRNA from 1 species
UACGUAGGGGGCAAGCGUUGUCCGGAAUUAUUGGGCGUAAAGCGCGCGCAGGCGGUUAAUUAAGUUGGGUGUUUAAGCCCGGGGCUCAACCCCGGUUCGCAUCCAAAACUGGUUGACUUGAGUGUAGGAGAGGAAAGUGGAAUUCCACGUGUAGCGGUGAAAUGCGUAGAGAUGUGGAGGAACACCAGUGGCGAAGGCGACUUUCUGGCCUAUAACUGACGCUGAGGCGCGAAAGCGUGGGAGCAAACAGG